ensembl:lncRNA YWHAEP7 tyrosine 3-monooxygenase/tryptophan 5-monooxygenase activation protein epsilon pseudogene 7
GUUAAUCUGCGGCGAUGUUCUGGAUGCACUGGACAAACACCUCAUUCCAGCAGCUACCACUGGCAAGUCCAAGGUUUUCUAUUAUGAAAUGAAAGGGGUCUACCACAGGUAUCUGGCAGAAUUUGCCACAGGAAAUGACAGGAAGGAGGUGGCAGAGAACAGCUUGGUGGCUUACAAAGCUGCUAGUGAUAUUGCAAAGCAGAGCAACCAGGAGACAACGGAAGGAAAGAGGCCCUGGUCUCCUCGGGAACUGUGUUACUGACAGAACAAGGAACAGCUUUGGCUGGAGAUGUUUAUGCUGACUUUGGAGUAUGGAUCAGAAGAGGGUCCUGGCUUGCUGAUGGAGCUCAGGCCUAUGGAAAACAGGAUGAUCUUAGAGUUAAAAACAAACAACCCUGGGUGUGGUCUCAGGGCCUGGGAGGAAAGGAUGAGUCAGCUGAAACUGAUGGAAAUUAACGAAUCUCUCAAGAGAUGCUGCCAUUUCCUGAGCACCUGUGAGCUCAUCUUAUCCUCACAACUGAAAGUGCUUUUUCCGACGUCAGACAUGGAAAAAUAUGGCACCUAAAAGAGGAUGUCACUUUGACAACCAAUACUCCCCCAGCCCAAAACCAAUUAUUAUAAUCACUGAUGAAACUGUGA